UUUGGUGAAGAAAGGGCAAGUUACUACUUAAGUAGACGGUUAACGAAAUGUGAAUGUAAUUACUCUGCUAUCGAAAAAUUAUGCCUUGCAUUGUAUUUCACAUGUACAAAGUUAAGGGCUUAUUUACGGCCCGUAACCGUUUAUUUAAUUUCUAAAGUAAAUUUAGUCAAAUAUAUGUUCUCGCGCCCUAUUUUACACCAAAGGGUAGGCCUUUGGAC
rnacentral:lncRNA from 1 species